UGAAGCAUUCUUUGGAAGCACAAUGUUCCAUAAGGACACACCAAGGCAAAGUUAUGAUGACUAAAAUCUAGACCAAGAAAAGAUAGUGUAGCUUUGCCCUCAAAGAAAAGUAGCUUAUAAAAGAGAGAGAGAGAAGUGGCUUAUUCUCACUAUUUUCACCCCAGACUUCCAGUUCAUCCUGCCCCCAACCCUCAGCAACUGCGAGUCUGCUCUCUAUGUCUGUGAACCUGUUUCUGUUUUGUGGCUCCGUUCACUUGCGUCAUACUUUGGAAAUCACAUGUAAGUGCCAUCAUAUGCUAUUUGUCUUUCUCCUUCUGACUCAAGUCCCUUAGGAUAAUCAUCUUUAGCUGCACCCAGAAGUGGCUUACUCUUCACACAAGACUUGUGUUGUUCAGUUCAUCAGGUCGGGGACCACUGAUCCGUUUCUCCCGGUAGAACUGGCCCACACCAGUCGACGAUGGAGACGUCCACAGUGCAGACUGGUCUACACCAAAGCUGAGACAUCUUCCCACCUGCGGGGCUGCCAACAACGAGGCUGGACAGAGGGUAGGGUUUGUGGAGUGGGAGUAUGCUGGAGGUACCCAUGAGGCCAGAAAAACGCUAUCCAGCUGAGCUGUAGGGGGUGGUCACCCCAGCCUCCCUUCACCUCCUUUCCUGGGGUCGAGAGGUUCUGGAAUGCUCUAGCCUUCUUGUUUCUGACCCCACAGAUGUCUCUCCCUCUCCCAGUCCCAAACUAUGGCCUGUCAAAGUGUAGGGCUCUGGGACUGCCCCCAGCUCUUCAUUUGACAACCGAGGGGACCUUGCUUCAGACCUUCUGCAAAGGCAAAACGUCAAGUGUUCUGGGGCGUGACGUGGAGAAAACACUUUGGAUUCGUACGUGGGGCUCUUUGGACCAGCCUGCAGCCUAGCAAGGGGCUUAAAGGAGAAAAAUGGCUGGAAACCUCGAGGGAGCUGACCUUGCCAUUCCUCUGAAUUCGCCCCACCAGAAACAGGGCUGAGAGUUCGGAAUGGAUGAGGAGCAGAGCAGCAGCCUCUUGGUCUUGGAGUCUAGCUCUGACGCUCACAGUCCCAGGGAGACGCCCCAGCACCUCAUCUCCUCAGAGUCUUGGGGGCUCUGACGUCAAUGAGGGUCCUCGCAGCAGCGCCCUUCUGAGGAAAAUCUGAAUCUCCUUCCAGCCAUCUGGUGGCCUCGGACAACAUCUUUCCCAGCUUCCCUGCUGCUGAGGACACACGAGGAGCAGACGGCGGAUGCCAAGUAGAGUCUCCACAGUCAGUUGGUGAGAAAUGCCAGACAAGCCGUGUCAUCUGGGGUACAUGAAAGUCUCGCCCUGGAAGGGACACCACAGGAAACAGCAGCCUCCGUGGAGCCAAGAGGGGGGCGCAGGAUCACCUUUGGGGAGGAGGGAGCUAGUCCUGGGCCUGCGUCCCCGCCACCAGGCUCACCGUCCUCAUCCUGCGGCCUCGCUCUGUCCACGGGCCAGGACUCACUGUAACUUCAUGGUUUUGCUGACUGCCAGCUGCCUUGUCCUUCCUAUUCCCACACCCACGGCCACGUGUGGCCCCCUGGCUGUAGUUCACCUGCCCUCUCCCAGCCCCAGCCCACACAAGGGGAUGGAGAGGGGUGGGGAGAGAGGGGAGGCGCAGAGGGAAGGGCUGCUUCAGUGCCAGGCGCCUGUGAUGGACCCAGAGGAGACUGGAAGGGCGGGAAGAACCCAGGGUGGGGCCGGGCGUCCCAUGAAGCCACCCAGCUGUGAACUCAGGGUCCUGGCAGAACCUCGUCCUGUAGAUUUCAAAGCUCAGGGGGCUGGUGGGUACAGACCCAGGGUGACACUCUACAAUCCGUGAGCUGCAGGCACUAGUCACAUUAGAACCCCUAAAGCACUGCUAUGCUCCACAGCUUUACUUUGCAAAGGGAGAUCUGAGGCAAAGGACCUGAGCUUUCUCUGGCAUACAUUUUGAAUUGCACUAAAAUUGGGAGAUUUUUCCCUUUCUAUUCACAGCCUGUCCCGAAAGGAUAAACACCUCAAGAAAGAUCAGUAGCUUUGGGACGCUGUGCAGUGGGAACAUUAUCAUUCAAAACUUAUGCUUCUUCCACCUGCCAAUGCAGGGGUAUGGUUUCGAACCCUGGUCCAGGAAGAUCCCACAUGCCUCAGGGCAACUAAGCCCGUGAGCUGCAGUGCCUAAGCUCGCUCACCAUAGACCCCGUGCUCUGCAACCAAAGAAACCACCACGAUGAGAAGCCCAUGAACCACGAGAGUAGCCCCAGCUCGCUGCAACUAAGAAAACCCGAACACAGCAACCAAGACCCAGCGCACCAAAAACAAAUACAGAAACCAUUUUUUAAAAGUGUGAUUCUUUGUUCCCAAGCGAGUCUCUUUUCAAAGAUAUUUAUAACUUAUUUAAUGUUAAAAUAAACACAAAUAACCAUCCUGAAAGUAUGACAUCACUGAACAAACGGAGAAAAGUUUUUUUUAAUGUUUUUUUUUUUAUUAUUAAAUGUUAAACUCUAA
ensembl:lncRNA